rnacentral:rRNA from 1 species
GACGAACGCUGGCGGCGUGCUUAACACAUGCAAGUCGAACGGAAAGGCCCUGCUUUUGUGGGGUGCUCGAGUGGCGAACGGGUGAGUAACACGUGAGUAACCUGCCCUUGACUUUGGGAUAACUUCAGGAAACUGGGGCUAAUACCGGUAAGGAGCUCCUGCUGCAUGGUGGGGGUGGGAAAGUUUCGGCGGUUGGGGAUGGACUCGCGGCUUAUCAGCUUGUUGGUGGGGUAGUGGCUUACCAAGGCUUUGACGGGUAGCCGGCCUGAGAGGGUGACCGGCCACAUUGGGACUGAGAUACGGCCCAGACUCCUACGGGAGGCAGCAGUGGGGAAUAUUGCACAAUGGGCGGAAGCCUGAUGCAGCAACGCCGCGUGCGGGAUGACGGCCUUCGGGUUGUAAACCGCUUUCGCCUGUGACGAAGCGUGAGUGACGGUAAUGGGUAAAGAAGCACCGGCUAACUACGUG